rnacentral:lncRNA from 10 species
GCAAUGAAUAAGUCAGACAAGUAUCUUCGCGCUGAAGACCUUGUAUUUUAGUGGACUGCUAGGAAUAAGCAGAUGUCUUGCUCACUACAAUGCCUGGGAGAUCCAGAACACCUUCUACAAUCCUUCCUUGAGGGAAAGAGCUAUGGGAGAUCCCCAAACCAAAGGAAAACAUUCUCCAACGGGCACUUCCAAAACAAGAAUCAGGGGUUUCCCUAAACCAGUUGGACGGCUCUUCCUACAUGCUCUGUUCACCUAGGGGAACCCCAAUCAGCAGAGCUCAGAAUGUGAACACAAUGGCUGGAGCUUGGGCAGCUAUUUUAGACCCUGAGGCAAUGUGCCACGUGGAGCGGAGCCAGAGCACCAAGACACAAGGAUACUGGGUCUCUGAAGACCUGGUGGGACCUGGACUGCUGAGUUCUGUACAUUUUUCACAAAGAGAAAAUCAACUAUCUUGUUUAAGCCACA